CUGAAGACCACCUUGCCUAACUCUGCUGCCACUUACAAUUUCACUCACCCGAAAAGCCCCGAAAAAGGCCCAUACAAAAGCAACCGUAAAUAACAAGACCUCGAACGAGGAGAAACAUAAACCUGGCAGGACUCCCAACAGUUGUUGAAGCAAGGCAAAAGACACCGGUCUCCUAGUGUCAGGUUCCAACUUACCCUUACGAUAACC